GAUACUGGCUCAGGAUGAACGCUAGCGGCAGGCUUAACACAUGCAAGUCGAGGGGCAGCGGGAUGUAGCAAUACAUGCCGGCGACCGGCGGAUGGGUGCGUAACGCGUAUGCAACCUACCUUAUACAGGGGAAUAACCUUUCGAAAGGGAGACUAACACCCCAUGGUAUUGAUUUAAGGCAUCUUAGAUUAAUUAAAUAUUUAUAGGUAUAAGAUGGGCAUGCGUAUGAUUAGCUAGUUGGUAAGGUAACGGCUUACCAAGGCGACGAUCAUUAGGGGUUCUGAGAGGAAGGUCCCCCCACACUGGUACUGAGACACGGACCAGACUCCUACGGGAGGCAGCAGUGAGGAAUAUUGGUCAAUGGGCGCAAGCCUGAACCAGCCAUGCCGCGUGCAGGAAAAGACGGCCUUAUGGGUUGUAAACUGCUUUUACAUAAGACUAACCGUAUAUUUGCGAAUAUACCUGAAUGUAUUAUGAGAAUAAGGAUCGGCUAACUCCGUGCCAGCAGCGGC
rnacentral:rRNA from 1 species